rnacentral:misc_RNA from 1 species
CAACCCCCUCGAGCCGACUAGGCUUGGUCUUGGGGCCCGCCCGCGUUGGCGCGGCGGCCCUUAAACCCAGUGGCGGUGCCGGUGGUGCUUUCCGCGUAGUCACGUUUCUCGCGCGAGGGCACGAUCUGGACCCAGCCAGCAACCAAGUCCGCGGCGCUGUGCGCUGCGACUUCUCUCU